GCUCGAGUGGCGAACGGGUGAGUAACACGUGAGUAACCUGCCCUUGACUUUGGGAUAACUUCAGGAAACUGGGGCUAAUACCGGAUAGGAGCUCCUGCUGCAUGGUGGGGGUUGGAAAGUUUCGGCGGCUGGGGAUGGACUCGCGGCUUAUCAGCUUGUUGGUGGGGUAGUGGCUUACCAAGGCUUUGACGGGUAGCCGGCCUGAGAGGGUGACCGGCCACAUUGGGACUGAGAUACGGCCCAG
rnacentral:rRNA from 1 species